UACGUAGGGUGCGAGCGUUGUCCGGAAUUAUUGGGCGUAAAGGGCUCGUAGGCGGUUUGUCGCGUCGGGAGUGAAAUCCACUGGCUUAACUGGUGGCUUGCUUUCGAUACGGGCAGACUAGAGGUAUGCAGGGGAGAACGGAAUUCCUGGUGUAGCGGUGAAAUGCGCAGAUAUCAGGAAGAACACCCGUGGCUAAGGCGGCUCUCUAGUACGGUACUGACGCUGAGACGCGAAAGCGUGGGGAGCGAACAGG
rnacentral:rRNA from 1 species